rnacentral:misc_RNA from 1 species
GCAAGAGUUUGAUACAAGAAAACUGAACAGUGCACUGGUUAUGCAAUGCAAAGAUAAUAUCAAGAACACACUGCUUACAACACAUGGAACAAAGUCCAGCUUGAGAAAUGUGCAACUGUUAUACAUAAAUUAGUAGCAAUUCCACAAGCAAAUAUCAAAUACACGCUGACACCAUGUAAAUUCUGCCAAUUACACCAAACUCUCGCCAGAAAUCAGGGAAAUUUUACCAGGACUACAAACUCUGUGUCUAACAUGCAUCGUCUUUCUCCUGUCAAAGCUAUAUUUAAAACAUCUCAACAGAAGACUUAAAAUGUCACUUCCCCUUUAGAAUAAUUCAGUGCUCUCUUCAACCGGCAAGUUUAGCCUUGUCAGACCUCACUGAAAUCAGACCAAUUAGGUACGGAUCAACUUGCUUAACCAAUGGGCACAAGAAUUUUGACAAAUGAUGCUUCAUCGUGGCCUAUUAUUUGGAGAAGGUAGAGAUUCACUGAAUUAUCAGAAAAUCUAAACGAAAAAGGAAGAGGGAGAAGCACUGUACAACUAGUGAAGUCGAGGCCAGAGGGAAAUGCUAAGUUCCGAGGGAAAAACAAAAGGAGAGAACAUAUAUAAGAGAAUCUUAUCUGAAGGCUACAUUAAUCACACUCAAGAUUCUCCAAACGUCCUCUCCUGGAUGAUCUGCCCAAGUUUCUUGUACACAGCUAGCUGCUCCUCGAAUGUAAGGUUCAGUAUUAUCUGAUCCAAGAUCAUCUCAAUAGACAAAUUCUGUGGCACAAUAAAGGACUGAUGAUAGAUAUAUGCAAAAACAGCCAUCACCAUCUGACAAUCCAUUCUAUCUGUCAUACCGCCAUGUCCAGGUAUACUAUCACCAAAAUCCUUGAUCUUGAAGGCUCUCUUAAAGCCACUAGCAAAAAAACCUCCAAAAGGAGCUAUAAUAGAAGCAAACAAGCCAAGCAAUAAAGCAUGCCAUUGUACAGGUAAAACAGCAAUCUCUCUAGAAAGAAACCAUGCAGGAAACCAUUCUGGCAAAGUAAAAUAUUCUGGUUUAAACAGUGGGCCAGGGUCACAAUCAAGCCAACCAGUUGAUAGGUCCUUUCUAGGGCAUGUCAGCCACUGAAAAUGACCAAACAUAUUCGCAAGCAGAAAGGCAGAGAUAAUGGUUGUAAUAGAUGCUCCAAUGAAGCCUUCCCAAGUUUUCUUAGGGGACAAUUUGAUCAAAGGAGUUCGUCCAAAGAAGAAUCCGAAAAAAUAGGCAGCUAUAUCAUUGAUCACGAUGAGUGAAGCUGGAAGCAGGAACCAGA